AUCCGUUUGAUGAGUCCUAAAUAGGACGAAACGAACGUACUGGAU
rnacentral:hammerhead_ribozyme from 1 species